rnacentral:misc_RNA from 1 species
UUUUUUUUUUGUAAAAUAAGUAGACAAAUUGCUAUUGAAUUGUAUUUGCUAGAAUUGAUACAGAGCUAAGCUUCUUUAAAGCUAUAUAAAGAGCAGUCCAAAUUUUUCAUGUGAACAUACAAAACAAACAAUUGAUAAAACAAUGCAUUAGUUUUGCCUGUAAGCGAUGUAAUUAGCCAAAGCAAUCAAUGGAGCUGCCUUUUCAGGAUCAAAUCCAGCCAGCUGCUCCUGAGCUUCCUUAUUCAGCUUCUCUGCAAAUUCCCUCGACUUCUCAAUCCCCAAAAGCUUGGGAUAUGUAACCUUGUCCGCCACCAAGUCCUUGCCUGCAGUUUUCCCCAAUUCUUGGGAUGAUUUAGUCACAUCAAGAAUAUCGUCAACAACUUGGAACAACAACCCAAUAUCCCUAGCAUAUUUCCUCAAUUUCUCCACUUCCUCAUCGGUUCCUCCGCCCAAUAUAGCCCCUAGCACCACAGCCCCCUCCAACAACUUAGCGGUCUUGUGGAUGUGAAUAAAUUCAAGCUUCUCUAAAUCCACCUCAGAUGAGCCCUCAGAAUUUAUAUCAACUACUUGGCCAGCAACUAACCCUUCUGCCCCGAUCGCCUUCGCUAAUUCCCCAACUGCCCGGACAAUUCUAGCAGAAGAAACAUUUAAAGUAGAAACAGCGAUGUG